UACGAAGGGGGCUAGCGUUGCUCGGAAUUACUGGGCGUAAAGGGCGCGUAGGCGGUCUUGUAAGUCCCGUGUGAAAUCCCUCGGCUCAACUGAGGAACCGCACGGGAAACUGCUUGGCUUGAGUUCGGGAGAGGGAAGCGGAAUUCCGGGUGUAGCGGUGAAAUGCGUAGAUAUCCGGAGGAACACCGGUGGCGAAGGCGGCUUCCUGGACCGACACUGACGCUGAGGCGCGAAAGCCAGGGGAGCAAACGGG
rnacentral:rRNA from 1 species